rnacentral:lncRNA from 1 species
GUCUUUUUAUAUAUUCAGUCUUAUGUGUGUCUGCUUAGCUUAUGUCGAUGUAUAGAUUGCACUUACAGAGGCCACUGAACAUCCACGUCAGAUAACUCAGACCUCUGUAUCAGCUCUUGGUUGGGUUGUCCUUGUGGCUCCCUUUUUUACAUGUCUGCUGACCUUGGUUUGAAUGACCAGCCUAACUCCACCUGUUCUUAAUUCGCAAACCUCAAACUGUGUUCUGAGAAGCAAUUAUAAGUUACAUGGAAAUGGUUUGUCCUUCCAAGUCUCGAUUCCACAGUUUGCUGGGUGGAAAAGGGUGUGAUUUAAUAAUCUAAGGUUAGUUACUGUUUAGUUCUUUCUUUCUGUUUGCUGUGCGUUUUUUUUUCUCGUUAUUAUAUAUUGCUUACAGAUAGCUUUGAGUUUUGUGCACUUUUCAAGUGUAUCAUAAAGUGUGACCACACUAGCCCCUCCCAAUUCUUUCCCUUUAGAUCCACCCACCUCUUUUUAAAUCCAGCCCAUCUCUUCCUUACCCACGGUCUCCUUUUGCUUUCGUCACACUCACAUACAUGCACACACACACACACAAUAUCUAUGUAUCCAUAUAUAUAGAGAGAGACACACAUAUAUACAUACAUAUAUAUAUAUAUAUACAUAUAUAUAUAUAUACACACACACACAUUAUAUAUAUAUAAUUUAUCUCUAAAGAACUCUGUGGUCCACAAAUGAGAGGAAAUGUGAUACUCAUUCUCCUGUGGUCUGAAUCAAUUUGCUAACAUGACCUGUGGCUGCAUCCACCCAGCAGUGAUGUAAUUUCAUUCUUUGUAUAGUCCCGUAAACUCUGUUGUGUGGACCAUGUUUGUCACCAUCUAUCCUUGAUGGGCAUGCAGGCUGAUUCCAUACCUUGGCUCUUAUGAAUAUUGGUACACUCUACAUGAAUACACAAGUGCAUCUGUGGUGUCUCUUGUGGAUUUCCAUCCAGUGCUCCAUUAAUUAGGAAGCAUUCCUAUCUCCUUGUCAAGAGCAAUUACUGCUUCUGGCUGGAGCAAGCACCCACUGCUGUGUCUGUCCUUGAGUUUUCCACUGCUUUUCUUAGCAUUUCACACACGUGUGCAUCCAGGACCUGGGAGAGCGCUUGCACAGACACCCAGUUUCCACCUGGAAAACUCUCUUCCUAGUGCUCUGUUUAGCAAACUUGUGUUAGCUUGUUCUUCCCAGACCUCUAAGGGCCUCACCUCCUUGCACCUUAGCCUAUACAUUCCCUUCAUGCAGGAAACCCGGCCAGGAGCAUAGCACAACCAUUUGUCUUUCAUUUCUCAGGAAUCAAUGCCAUUGAUGGCCUUGUGUCCAGAGCCCUGGGAGCCUUUGCUGUAUAUAUCUUUUUUUUUCCAAAUAGCAGAAUUUUGAAUCAAAUUCUAUUGCUCUAAUAGAAGAACAUGCCUUUGCUGUAUAUAUCUUUUUUUUUCCAAAUAGCAGAAUUUUGAAUCAAAUUCUAUUGCUCUAAUAGAAGAACGUAUCUAUAAUGUGAUAUGAUAAAUUCUAGUCAACUCUGCAUUUUGAUUGUGGUGUUCUGUAGUGGUCUGUCUUCAUUGCAAAGAGAAGUUGCCUUGAUGAGAG